UGAGCGUGCGUCUGGCGGCAAUUCUAUCUCCGAAAGUGAUCAUCGCAGAAUACGUCCCUUUUCCUACGUGCGAGGGUGCGUGAGCGGCCUGGCACACCGCGUUUUGGCGGUCACGUGAGCUGUACGAGCAUGUAAACGCAACAGCAAGAGCGGGCAGUCAAGCCGGGAAUUCUUGACUGCACGGCUUGAAUGCUUGAAUGCUUGACUUGAUGCGCGCUCUAGUCCAGCGCACCAUGUGCUUUGAAGGUCGCGUAGUCUGCCUCGUUUCGGCGGUUUGGCACAGCGAAACGGCAAAAAGAAAAGGGAGCGGCAGCGUGGAACGUCCGCGCUCGGAGAUGCACGUACUCUCCCGGCUACCGGCGCUCCUCAUCAAGCCACCGUUGGGACCACUUUCCGGAGUCUCUUUGCCAGAUCGUUUCAAGGAGUGCCAAGGAAGCUCAAUACGUGUUGUGGAGUAGGAGGUUCUCGGACGUUGCUGCCCUCUGCCGGAGCGUCGUCGUCAUGUCGGCAUGGUCGUGGCCAUCCCUGGCGAGCAAGAGAAAGGGAGAGACAACAGGAGGCAAGCAGAAGAGAACGAAAUGACACUGCAAAGGGACUGCCAUCAUGAUAUUGCACAGCGUAUUUAUAAUAAAGUGCGAAGAUAUCCUACCCAGCGAAAACCGUAAGGGUAGUCCACAUUUCAGAAGCUCUGGGGCUCAAGGUGGAUGGGAGCGUUAACAGGUGAACAGUAGUGAUACGAGAACCUUACUGUGUUAGCCUAAAACAGCUCCGGAAGAUAAGUACGCAGUUGCCAGAGGCUUAGGUAUCAUCUGGAGGUAAAGUAAGGAUAUGGAGGAUCUUAUCGAGUGCGCUAUGGUAAAACAUGCCAGUAGCUCACAUAGGCUAAAGUGACUGCUUGGAGCCGCCACGAAUCGCAAGAAAUGUGUUACAAAUACAUCUGUUGCAUCAGCUAGCUUUGAUUCAUUGGUUCAUGAUGCUAUUUGUAUUUCCCUUCAUCUGUUUAUCCUGUCACGUGCUUUUGUUACAUGCCCACUCGCCCUUUCGUAAAUUCUACUCUGAAUGUUAAUUUUUGCAUCUAUGCCUGUUAUUACUCCGUCGCAUUGUUUACGCUAACUGUGAUGGGGUCCGCCACCUGUGACUGGCCUUGACAUCUCCAUUACUUACGCCAGCUCCAUCUCUCUCCCUUUUACCUCGUCCAUAAUUCUUCCGUCAUUCGCGAUUUCUCGUGUGUAUUUCCUGCUGAACAUCCCUGGCUUCUCUCUGGUACUCUUCGUUUCCUUUCGCGACACUAUCAUUCUUCUUGAAUUUCUACUCCCGACGGGACACCCCACGUCAUCUUCGAUGCGGGUACGCCCAUCUUGCCAACACUAGCAUGCCUUCUACGACGCACGAGAUGUGGUAGAGCAAGGGGCAUCUCUCAUCAUUUUUCUCAAUGGCACCGGACCCUAUGUAUGCUUCGGAACCACUUUCAUCAAAUCUCGUACGAUGCGGACUAUUCAUCGGACAACUACCAGGCAUCCAUCCGUCCACUUUCCGACACACAUUAAGCCUACCACUCCUUGGACCUUAUUACGCGUUAUACAGGGUAUUGUUUAACUGCAUAAAUACAGGGUAUAGUUUAGCUGCACAAAAGCUUUAAAAGUUGCAGAUGGCGGCUAGCACAGCUGUAGCCCUUGAUCUAAAUUAAUCGAUUAGGUGGCCAUUACUUCUUCUAAAAAAAUGCCUAAUUGAGUAAGUACUAUACUUUGGAUAAUUAUUUUUAUAUAAUUACUUUUCUGCACAUAUUUCCACAUAUCACUUGCAGCCGGUUGAGUGCUCAAGAGAUAUUUACACGCAAAUAUCUUUAUCUUUCUUAGUCACUGCUU